rnacentral:lncRNA from 1 species
CUUUUUGAGGCCUGACAUCUCCCGGCAGUCACAGUGAUGUCUUCCUUAGAUAGAUUCAAUACUGGGGAAGAACAGGUGAAAAGUGGUGAAAGUUGCUAAAUGCUGUGUUCCUCUGCUUGCUUUUCAUGCUGGGUGCCAGGAAUCAAAGCUGCAGGAGUGGAAGAGAUACAGGGAGUCCACAGAGCCUCCCCUGCAAGCAUCAGUACAGAGGUUGAUGAUAAUCUGGAUGCAAGUCCAGGAGUGUGGGGUCCACGACUCAGAAGACCUGCAUCUAAGGAAUUGGCUGUCCUUAUCCUUAACAAUAAUUUUUUAAUAAUGUAAGCUAUACACAUACAUGCUUUCAACAUACAACGCCCUGACUAUCAUAUAAUGGAUAUUUCAAGAAGUAAACGUUCAGCAUGUCUUCACCCCCACUUGAAGACAUAAUGUAUCAAUUAGGCUGUUCUUGCAUUGCUAUAAAGAAAUACCUGAGACUGUGGAAUUUAUAAGAAAAGCAGUUUAAUUGGCUCACGGUUCUGAAGGCUGUACAGGAAGCAUAUUGGGUCUACUUCGUCUACUUCCGUGGAGACCUCAGGGAACUUUGACUUAUGGUGAAAGGUGAAAUGGGAGCAGGCACCUCAUGUGACUGAAGCAGGAGCAAGAAAGAGAGAGUGACCGAGGUACCACACACUUUUAAACAACCGGAACUCUCUUUUCAGAAUUCACUCACUAUCUUGCGGACAGCACCAAAGGAAUGGUCCUAAACCAUCCAUGAGAAAUCCUCCCCCGUGAUCCAAUCACCUUUCACCAGGCCCUACCCCCAACGCUGGGAUUACAGUUCAACGUGAGAUUUGGGCCUGGACACAGAUCCAAACCCUAUCAAUAUAUUGGCCAGACGCUUGCAGCUAUAUGAAGAAUACCCUGGUUACCCAGCCACAAAUGCAGAUGUUAUUGAUAAGGGAGGGGGCAGGGAAGUGCUGGGAGGAGAAGGGCAGGUCUCUGGUGAGGGCUCCACCCUGGGGCCUGUGCCCACAGACCUGGGUGAGGGCAGGCACUCCGGCCUUUGCGUCCAAAUGUUGCUUUUCCCAAG